rnacentral:lncRNA from 1 species
AGCCUGGGCUGAGGCCACACUUGCGAGACAGAGGGUUUCCCUGAUGGGAUCUCAGUGCAACCCAACAACUGAGCCAACCGGGACUACUCGGUCUGUGAAACCCACGAGGACACUGGUGAGUGCCACCUGCCGCCGGGCAACACGAGGACCUGACUGACACAGCAAUGAACAUCGCUCCACAACACACACAGGCAUACACAGUCUUCAUGGGUCAUUGAAGGCGUCAGCGACAAAAACCACACCCUAUCAACGAUGAUGAAGGGCUGACUCUAAGAAGUUCUUGAUCAG